rnacentral:rRNA from 1 species
ACGCGUGGGAACGUACCUUUUGGUUCGGAACAACACAGGGAAACUUGUGCUAAUACCGGAUAAGCCCUUACGGGGAAAGAUCUAUCGCCGAAAGAUCGGCCCGCCUCUGAUUAGCUUGUUGGUGAGGUAAUGGCUCACCAAGGCGACGAUCAGUAGCUGGUCUGCGGAUGAUCAGCCACAUCGGGACCGAGACACGGCCCAUAGUUCUACGGGAGGCAGCAGUGGGGAAUAUUGGACAAUCGCCGCAAGCCUGAUCCAGCCAUGCCGCGUGAGUGAUGAAGGCCCUAGUGUUGUAAAGCUCUUUUGUGCGGGAAUACUGACGGUACCGCAGAAUAAGCCCCGGCUAACUUCGUGCCAGCAGCCGCGGUAAUACGAAGUGGGCUAGCCUUGCUCGACCUACUGGGCGUAAAGGGUGCGUAGGCGGGUCUUUAAGUCAGAGGUGAAAUCCUGGAGCUCAACUCCAGAACUGCCUUUGAUACUGAGGAUCUUGAGUUCGGGAGAGGUGAGUGG